GAUGAAUGCCGACAGAAUGUUUAACACAUCAGCAACUGCUUGGUGGCGGCUGGGCGCGUAACGCGUAAAGAACUUGCCUCACAGCUAGGGACACCAUUUAGAAAACAAUGCUAAUACCUGAUUCUGUGAGAGAGCUUUUCGUCCGAUUAGCUAGUGGGAGAGGUACCAGCUCACCAAGGCGAUGAUGGGUAGCCGGCCUGAGAGGGUGAACGGCCACAAGGGGCGUUCUACACGGCCCUUUCUCCUACGGGAGGCAGCGGUGGUGAAUAUUGGACAAUGGACCCAAGUCUGAUCCAGCAAUUCUGUGUGUACGAUGAAGUUUUCGGAAUGUAAAGUGCUUUCAGUUGGGAAGCGGUACCAACAGAAGAAGGGACGGCUAAAUACGUGCCAGCAGCCGCGGUAAUAC
rnacentral:rRNA from 1 species